UCUAGUUUAUUCCAACACUGGGAGGUUGUUCCCAGUUGGAUAUCUCAAGUAUUGUGAAUGGCUGCUAACCUGAAGAACUUCACAUCUGUUACUUGAGGCUAGCUCUUGAGCAGCAAGACCCACUGAUGGAACAGGGAAUUCCUUGUGGACAGAGAGCCCGGUCUUAUUCACCUGUGCUCCUCCAUACCUAACAGGGUACCUAUGUACACACACACUUGGUAAACCUCUGCUUGCUGCAAUCGCUUGCCCUCUAGGAGUGUUUCCUGUGCAGACCUUGAAGGAAGGUCUCUGCAGCUAAAGCCAGGGAGUGAAGAAUGAAAAUCUCAAUCUCCACCAUCUCCCUUUCUUCAGUCUCUUCCAGUGGCCUCCCAUUGGCGAAACCCAACCAACUAUCGGUGGGCACAGGACCUCACUGAUACAGCACACAGAGGUCAGUGUGUUAGGUCAGAGAGCAGAAGGGAAAAGGGAAAAGGAUGGUGGUGCACACAAAGAAUGGUCAACAGACACAUCAUAACUGAGAGCAAACCGAAGCCUGGGGAAGAAUGGUGACUUGCCCACAUGAAGACGUCUCAUUUGUAGAGCCUCCUGAUAAUGGCCCAAACCAGCCAACACCUUGAUUUCAGCCUCUUGAGACCUGGAACAGAGAAACAGCUGAGUCUACACAGAUGUCUGACCUAGAGAACAAUGAGAUAAUAACUGUGUGUUUUUUUAAUCUAUGUUUGUGGCAGUUCGUCAUGGCAGCAAUAUAAAAAUUAAUACAGGGGUACAUGUAACUUGCAUUGGAUCCCCAGGAGCUCUGAGUUCUAUGGACCCAUUCUUUUUCAAGCUCCUCAUUGUGCAGGAGUCUAUGCUACGUAUCCCUGCUAAACAUUGUUGGACCCACUAGAGUAGCCCAGAUUUAAAGAAAAAACUGACAACACUACAUGUUGAUGAGCAUGUGGAGCAACUGGAACUCUCAUACACUAUUCGUGGGAAUAUAAAACGGUACAACUGGGGGCACCUGGGGGGGGUCAGUCGGUUGAGUAUCUGACUCUUGGUUUCAGCUCAGGUCAUGAUCUCAGGGUCCUGGGGAUCGAGCCCUGAGCUGGGCUCCAUGCUUGGUGGGGACUCUG